GGCUCAGGACGAACGCUGGCGGCGUGCUUAACACAUGCAAGUCGAGCGGUAAGGCCCUUUCGGGGGUACACGAGCGGCGAACGGGUGAGUAACACGUGGGUGACCUGCCCUCCACUCUGGGAUAAGCCCGGGAAACUGGGUCUAAUACCGGAUAGGACCACUGAUCGCAUGGUUGGUGGUGGAAAGUUUUUUCGGUGGGGGAUGGGCCCGCGGCCUAUCAGCUUGUUGGUGGGGUGAUGGCCUACCAAGGCGGUGACGGGUAGCCGGCCUGAGAGGGCGACCGGCCACACUGGGACUGAGACACGGCCCAGACUCCUACGGGAGGCAGCAGUGGGGAAUAUUGCGCAAUGGGCGGAAGCCUGACGCAGCGACGCCGCGUGGGGGAUGACGGCCUUCGGGUUGUAAACCUCUUUCGCCAGGGACGAAGAGCAAUUGACGGUACCUGGAGAAGAAGCACCGGCCAACUACGUGCCAGCAGCCGCGGUAACACGUAGGGUGCGAGCGUUGUCCGGAAUUAUUGGGCGUAAAGAGCUCGUAGGCGGUGUGUCGCGUCGGCCGUGAAAACUUGGGGCUUAACUCUGAGCGUGCGGUCGAUACGGGCAUCACUUGAGUUCGGCAGGGGAGACUGGAAUUCCUGGUGUAGCGGUGAAAUGCGCAGAUAUCAGGAGGAACACCGGUGGCGAAGGCGGGUCUCUGGGCCGAUACUGACGCUGAGAGC
rnacentral:rRNA from 1 species